UGAAAGGGUACUUUAAGAGACACUAAUGAUGACCCCAUAUCCCGUCUGAUCCUGGAAGCUAAGCAGAACCAGGCUUGGUUAAUACUGUGGAGGGAGAUCACCAGGGAGGAUUAGAAGCCCUUUCAC
rnacentral:rRNA from 11 species